AUUCAGGACACAGGUGGGCAAGGACUUCAUGACUAAAACACCAAAUGCAAUGGCAACAAAGCCAAAACAUACAAGUGGAAUCUAGUUAAACUUAAGAGCCCUGCACAGCCAAAGAAACUAUUGACAGAGUGAACCGGCAACCAAGAGAAUGGGAAAAAAAUUUUUGCAAUCUAUCCAUCUGACUA